GGCGACGACGGGGGGCGCCGGGCUCCUUCGGCGGUCGGCUACGGCUCUCCUCAGCCCGGCCUCCCGGCGCCCGAGUCGCCGCGCUGUCAAUCCGCGCGCGCCGCCAGCAGCUGCUCCGCGCACGCUCCGCCCGUCUCGCCCGGCGCGAGCCGCUCCGGAGUCCUGCGGAACGGAGGCCACCGUCUCGCAGGCGCUCGGCGUGCCCGGGUCACCCCCUCCUCCGGACUUUUAAAGCCAGCGGUUUACCAGAACGCUUCCCAGCGAGCCUGGGAACUCGGCGAGCGCUGCGCAGCCGGGCGUUAUCGCCUCGGCGCAGAUGGGACCAGGACGGCUGCGGGAACUCGUGCCUCCUGCCUGCCCACCGUGGAGUCCCGGGAAGCAGCCAGCAUCGAGGACUUCCCACACAGUUGCCUUCGGCUCGUGGUCACUUGUACUUCCGUAGUUAUUCCCGUCAAACUUUUAUUUCAUGGGCGUUGAAAAAUCAAAUACUAGCCGCUGCUAGUGGAGUCCUCACGUAACCGUGACACUAGAGAACUGGAGGCUGGAGUUCAAGGUCAUCCUUGGCUACAAAAUGAGGUCGAGACUUGUCUGGGCUACAGGGCGGCGACGGUGGUGAUGAAGAAGGAGCAGCCAAGGGAGAGAAAAAGAGGAAGAAAAAGACUCCAUACUGAACUCAUCCUUUGAACAACAACAACAAAAUAGCAGUAGAUACCUAAUUUUAGGAAAGAACUGUAUGCAAAGACCGAGGCUAGUAGUUUUCAACCCUGGCGGCACAUUAGAGACACCCGGAAAAGUUUUCAUUAGAAGAGUUUUAGAUCCACAGCAAAUUGAACAGAAAGUACAGAGAAUAAGUUAUGGCUACCCUGUUCUGUAUCAUGUGUUCCUGGCCAGGUAGGGCUAAGGACAGAGAGUUCCCACUGAUCUCUUUGUUUAUGGUUUUGCCCUUUCCAAAAUAUCGUUUCUAGUUGGAAUUAUUCACUAACACUCUUUAAGGAUCCUCUGUGAGUUUUUAUAGCUUGGUAGCUCAUUUAUUUGGUGUUGUGUUGUGUUUUGUUUUGUUUUGUUGUACUGGAUUUUUUUAUUUGGUUUUGUUUUUUACUUUUUGUUUUUCUUGUUGUUUUGAAGUGGGUAUGCUUAUGUAACCCUGGCUGGCCUAAAGUCAAUAUCCUCCUGCCUCAGCUUCCUGAGUAUGCUAACAAGAGGGCUUCCUUCCUGAGUAUGCUAACAAGUAUGCUAACACCUGGCUUGGGAGCCCAUUUAAUUCUUACUGCUAAAUAAUAGUAAGUUGUUUAGAUGUAACACAAUGUGUUUCUUCAUAUACAGAUGCCUGGAAUCUACCUUCACAGACUAUGAACGGCUCAUGCAGAAAUUUCCAAAGUUCCCCAACAGGAAAAAUACUUUCUAACAAUGUAGCUACCACAGGACUGUGGCCAGAACAAAUGAAAAACUCUUCAAACCCAAGAAUAAGAAAAAACCUUGCCAGGCAGUGGUGGCGCACACCUUUAAUCCCAGCACUUGGGAGGCAGAGGCAGGUGGACUUCUGAGUUGAGGCCAUCCUGGACUACAGAGUGAGUUCCAGGACAGCCAGAGCUACACAGAGAAACCCUGUCUCAGAAAAGAAAAAAGAAAAGAAAAAAACCUUAAUUAGAAAUUGUAAAAGACUGGAGACAUUUAACCAAGAAGACAUCCCAGUGGCUGGCGAGAAAGCAUAUGAAAGAUGCUUAACAUUAUCUGGCCUUGAGAAAUUGAAGAUACUCACUGGUGGUCUGUGCGUUUGGUUCCCAGUACCCAUAUCAGGCAGCUCACAUCUGAUGCCUCUGGCCUCUACAAGCACCUGCGUUUACAUGCAUUCACCCACACACAGGCAUGCACAUGUGCACAUAAUGUAAAAGUAAUUUAAAUAAAUCUUUGAGGAAAAGAAAUUUUAAAAUAAUACUCUAGAGCUAUAGAUAACAGCUCAGUUGGUAGGGUACUUACCUACUACACACAAAGCCUGGGUUCUCUGUCCAGGACUGGAUAGAACCAGGCCCUAAAACUGGGAUUGGUGGGACAGACGGACAGACUUUUAAUUUCCAUCACAGGCAGAAGAAGCAGUUCAAGAGCUUCCUCAGCUACAUAAUGAACUUCCUCAGCUACAUAAUGAACUGGGUUCCAGCCUAGAAUACAUAGAAUGACCGUGUCUGAAGAAGGGAAAAGAGGGCAGAGGGAAGGAAGGGAACACUCGAGACUUCUAAACAUCAUUAGAAGGGCGAAAAACCAAAGCCCAAUAACACCAAACGCUGGAAGGGUGUGAUUCAGCCGGAGCGCUCUUGGUACCCGUGGAAAGUAAUAGUGCCCCUGUGUAAGAUAAAAAAAGGCUCUGGUUUUGUAAAAGCAGGCAUGGGCAAAGCCAAGAACCUAGGACCCACAUGAAAGCCCACAGGCAGUGACAGGUGCCUGCGGUCCCGGCGCCUCCCGCGGAGAGCUAGGAAACAGAAGAAUCACCUGGAAUCUUACAGGCCAGCUCUCCAGGGGCGGGGCGUGAUGCAGGGCAGAAAGGAGAGAGAGAGAACCAACUCCCGAACCUUGUAGAGGUUUGUUUUCCCUUUAGAAGUUGCUUUAUCUAUGAGCGAGGCAUGGGGGCACCCACCUUUAAUUCCUGCACUCAGGAGUCAGAAGCAGGAAGGUCUCUGUGAGUUUGAGGUCAGCCGGGGAAAGCUACAUAGUGAGACCCUGUGUUCAACAAGACAAAUUUGUUAUGUACAAAUAACAGGCAACAUUCUAUCCAUGAGUCCUAUUUUCUAAGACCUU
rnacentral:lncRNA from 1 species